rnacentral:rRNA from 1 species
AUUGAACGCCGGCGGUAUGCUUAACACAUGCAAGUCGAACGAUGAGAAAGAGCUUGCUCUUUCGAUUAGUGGCGGACGGGUGCGUAACGCGUAGGAAUCUACCUAUUAGUGGGGGACAACUUAGGGAAACUUAAGCUAAUACCGCAUACGCCCUACGGGGGAAAGAAGGGGAUCGCAAGACCUUUUGCUAAUAGAUGAGCCUGCGUAGGAUUAGCUAGUUGGUGGGGUAAAAGCUCACCAAGGCGACGAUCCUUAACUGGUUUGAGAGAAUGAACAGUCAAACUGGAACUGAGACACGGUCCAGACCCCUACGGGAGGCAGCAGUGGGGAAUAUUGGACAAUGGGCGAAAGCCUGAUCCAGCAAUACCGCGUGUGUGAAGAAGGCCUUAGGGUUGUAAAGCACUUUCAAUUGGAAGGAAAACCUCGAAGCUAAUACCUUCGAGUUUGACAUUACCUUUAGAAGAAGCACCGGCUAACUCCGUGCCAGCAGCCGCAGUAAAAC